GCCUCCUGAGUACUUAACAGUAUUAGGGUAACAUGUGUGAGUCACUGGAACCCCAAGAAAAUGUUUUAAGAGGCCAUUUUGAUGUAAAGGAUGGAUGCGAGGCUCCAGAGCAAGACCUGGAAGGAGGCUGUUGGAGUGACCUAGGAACUUUGCCUCAUCCUAGUCCUGGCUCUGCUUCAAGGGGGAGGUAAAUUAUAAUUCUUGUUUCAUGAUACCCUCAUCAUUGAAGAAGGCCAAGACAUCCUCAAGGUCCUCAACAUUGGAGCCCAGGAAUGGGAAUAUUGAAGCUGAAGCACCUCUAUUCAGCUGCCAUGUUGUGAGCUGUCCUAUGGAGAAGCCCAUGUAGCAGAUAUCUGAUGUCUUCAGCCAGUUGCCCGCAAGGAUCUGAGGCCUGCCAAUAGCCAUGGGAGUGAGCUUGAAGUGGAUUCUUCUCCAGUUGAGCCUUUGGAUUAUUGCAUUAUUGGCAGACACCUUGAUUGCAGCCUUAAAAGAGACCUUAAACCAAGAUCACUCAACCUAAACUAUGUCUAGAAUCCUGACUCACAGACACUGGGAGACAGUAAGUGUUUG
rnacentral:lncRNA from 1 species